AGUUUGAUUAUGGCUCAGGGUUGAACGCUGGCGGGAUGCUUUACAUGCAAGUCGAACAGCGGCACGGACUUCGGUCUGGUGGCGAGUAGCGAACGGGUGAAGUAAUGUAUCGGAACGUGCCUAGUAGCGGGGGAUAACUACGCGGCGGCAGCUAAUACCACAUACGCCCUUCGAAGAAAGCGGGGGACCGCUUCGGGCUCACUGUCGACGCGGCCGAUAUCGGAUUGGCUAGUUGGUGGGGAGUAACGGCUCACCAAGGCGAGCGAUCCGUAGCUGGUUGAGAGGACGACCAACCACACUGGGACGGGGUACGGCAGACUCCUACCAGGCAACGGUGGGGAAUUUUGGACAAUGGGGAAACCUGAUCCAGCGCUCCCGCGUGUGCGAUGAAGGCCUUCGGGUUGUAAAGCACUUUUGGCAGGAAAGAAACGGCACGGGAUAAUACCCCGUACCAUGACAUUACCUGCAAGACAAAGCACCGGCUAACUACAUUUGUAGCCGCGGUAUUACGUAAGUGCAGCGUUAAUUGGAAUUGCUGGGCGUAAAGCGUGCGCGGUUCUGGAAGAAGAAUGUAGAAAUCUAGAGCUUAACUUUGGAACUGCAUUUUUAACUACCGAGCUAGAAGUGUGUCAGGGAGGUGGAGUCACUGUAGCAGAAAGUGAAAUGCGUAGAUAUUGCGGAGGGGAACACCGAUGGCGAAGGCAGCCUCCUGGGGAUAACACUGACGCUCAUGCACACACAAGCGUGGGGAGAUGCAAACAGGUUAGAUGCCUGGUAGUCCGCCCUAAACGAUGUCAACUAGCUGUUGGGGCCUUCGGGCCUUGGUAGCGCAGCCUUAACGCGUGAAGUUGACCGCCUGGGAGGAUACGAUUCUGCAAGAUUAAAACUCAAAGGAAUUGACGGGGACCCGCACAAGCGGUGGAUGAUGUGGAUUAAUUCAGUACAGCGCAUGAAAAACCUUACCUACCCUUAGCAUGUCUGGAAUCGAAAAUUUGGGAGUGCUCGCAAGAGAACCGGAGCACAGGUGCUGCAUGGCUGUCGUCAGCUCGUGUCGUGGAUGUUGGGUUAAGUCCCGCAACACGAGCGCAACCGCCGUCAUUGAUUGCUACGAAGGGCACUCUAAUGAGACUGCCGGUGACAAACCGGAGGAAGGUCAGGAUGACGUCAAGUCCUCAUGGCCCUUAUAGGUGGGCUUCCACCCGUGUCUGCAAUGGUCGGGACAGAGGGUCGCCAACCCGCGAGGGAGCCAAUCCCAGAAACCCGAUCGUAGUCGGAUCGCAGUCUGCAACUCGACUGCGUGAAGUCGAAAUACCUUCCCAGUAAUCGCGGAUGUAUGUCGCGGUAGACCACGUUCAGGUCUUUAUACCUGCACCGCCGUCACCUAUGGGAGUGGGUUUUACCAGAAGUAGUUAGCCUGACCGUAAGGAGGGCGUUACCACGGUAGGAUUCAUGACUGGGGUGAAGUCGUAACAAGGUAG
rnacentral:rRNA from 1 species